GGUCCAAGAUUGCAUUCCAAAUUAUGUAAAGCAGAAAAGAUUAUUAAAGAUUCUCCUUUUAAAAAUCAAGAAGAACUAUCUCAAGCUGGAACAUGGUUGCAGAAUUGGAAAAAAGAUACAGAAUCGAAAAAUACUAAAGGAAACGAAUUAAAUUCUACAGAAAAGUUUGUUGAAUGUGUUCACAAAAUAAAGACUAUAAGCACAAGUGUUGGAGUAAUGCAUUAUGAUGCCAACAAAGAAGCUUUAAUAACAAGG